rnacentral:rRNA from 1 species
UACGUAGGGCGCAAGCGUUAUCCGGAAUUAUUGGGCGUAAAGAGCUCGUAGGCGGUUUGUCGCGUCUGCCGUGAAAGUCCGGGGCUCAACUCCGGAUCUGCGGUGGGUACGGGCAGACUAGAGUGAUGUAGGGGAGACUGGAAUUCCUGGUGUAGCGGUGAAAUGCGCAGAUAUCAGGAGGAACACCGAUGGCGAAGGCAGGUCUCUGGGCAUUAACUGACGCUGAGGCGCGAAAGCCAGGGGAGCAAACGGG